CCUUUGAAAGUGGAUUAAAAUCUGGGACAGGGUGUGUCUGGCCCUUUCCCUCCUUUCUCUUCACUCUGGCCUCUUGCAAGUAAGGGGCUGGCUGCAGCCUUGAGCCUCCUGGGCGCAUGGCCUUGGGCCACUUGCCCCAUGCUUCCUGUCCUAGAUGCUCUUCCACGUGGCUGGUUCCUGGUAUUUGGAAAAGAAAAAUAUUAAAUAACAACUUUAAACAGCAAGAAGAAUGAAACAAUUAUGUAGGACAAAAACAGAACAAAAAAGAAACAAGAAUUGAGAAGGAAGGCAAGUUCCAGAAUUCAGAAAACGGAAAGCAGUUUCAGUGAACUGAAGUCAAGAGGAUGCUGCCACGUUCUUUUUGGGAGCUCCAAAGCAGACUCUACCUCUUUGCCAUUUUCUUUUUCUAGUGGCCAUCUAUAUUCUGUUGCUAGUGAUCCUUCCUCCAUCUAAAAAGGCCAUGACCCAUGGCUUAUCCCAUGUCAACCUUUCCUCCAACUCUCUGAAUCCCCUCUAUUUCUUAAGGACCCUUGUGAUUGUAUCAAGCCAUGGGAACAGCCAAAGGAUCAACUCACCUAAAAAUCCUUAUCCACUUGUACAAAGUUCCUUUUGCAACAUAAGGUUAACAUUCCCAGAUUUUAGACACUAGCAAUGGAUAUGCUGGAGAGCAAGAGUACUUUUCAGUCAAACACCUCCCUCAAGCUACCAACUACUCAUUCAUAUGCUUCUGUUACUGACAGUACCACGUUCUAAUUCACUAAGGAGACUAAGCUUCAGAAAAGUUUCUCUGUUUCCCUCAUCGUCACAAAAUUGUUGCUUCACUCUACCUCACCUCUUUACCCAUCCUUGACAACUUUCAAAUAGCUCAAGGGAACAGUGAUCCUCCUCUUUUCCAGGUUCCUUUCUACCUCUGCCUUUGAAUUUAGUCCCUCUAAUCUUUAAGGAUAAAUAACUUGCAAUAGAACUCUACCUUUCUUGUUUGUGAAUAUGACUGAAAACAGAAAUAUUCAAGUAAAGACAUAAAAAAAAAUCUUUGAAAUUCACCAUAAGGUUUCAUGCAGAAAAUUCUACUAUUAACAUUCUAUUAACCCCACGGUAGCCUACA